UGGGGAAUAUUGCACAAUGGGCGCAAGCUGAUGCAGCGACGCCGCGUGGGGGAUGACGGCCUUCGGGUUGUAAACUCCUUUCGCCAGGGACGAAGCGUUUUGUGACGGUACCUGGAGAAGAAGCACCGGCUAACUACGUGCCAGCAGCCGCGGUAAUACGUAGGGUGCAAGCGUUGUCCGGAAUUACUGGGCGUAAAGAGCUCGUAGGUGGUUUGUCACGUCGUCUGUGAAAUUCCACAGCUUAACUGUGGGCGUGCAGGCGAUACGGGCUGACUUGAGUACUGUAGGGGUAACUGGAAUUCCUGGUGUAGCGGUGAAAUGCGCAGAUAUCAUCAGGAGGAACACCGAUGGCGAAGGCAGGUUACUGGGCAGUUAACUGACGCUGAGGAGCGAAAGCAUGGGUAGCAAACAGGAUUAGAUACCCUGGUAGUCCAUGCCGUAAACGGUGGGCGCUAGGUGUAGGGGCCUUUUGGGGUUUCUGUGCCGUAGCUAACGCAUUAAGCGCCCCGCCUGGGGAGUACGGCCGCAAGGCUA
rnacentral:rRNA from 1 species